GGAAGAGAGAAUGCCGGUGUGAGUAGCGGAACGUGGGUGAGAAUCCCACGCACCGAAUACCCAAGGUUUCCAGAGGAAGGUUCGUCCGCUCUGGGUAAGUCGGGACCUAAGGCGAGGCCGAAAGGCGUAGUCGAUGGACAACGGGUGGAGAUUCCCGUACCUGAUGAAGAGGCAAUGGAGUGACGGAGCAGGCUAGGCGAUCCAGCUGCUGGAAUAGCUGGUGCAAGCGAGGUAGGGGACAUCCAGGCAAAUCCGGAUGUUGAAACCCGAAGGCGUGACGCGUAUGGAACAUUACGAUAAGUACAGAAGUCGCCGAAGCAAGCUUCCAAGAAAAGCUUCUAGCAAUCAACUCUUUGUCAGCCCGUACCGAAAAUGGACACACAUGGGUGAGGAGAGAAUCCUAAGGUGAGCGAGAGAACUAUAGCUAAGGAACUCUGCAAAAUGACUCCGUAACUUCGGGAGAAGGAGUGCUCAUUGAGAGAUGAGCCGCAGUAAAACGGCCCAAGCGACUGUUUACCAAAAACACAGCUCUCUGCCAAGACGCAAGUCGAAGUAUAGGGGGUGACGCCUGCCCGGUGCUGGAAGGUUAAGAGGAGUGGUCAGCGCAAGCGAAGCCAUGAAUUGAAGCCCCAGUAAACGGCGGCCGUAACUAUAACGGUCCUAAGGUAGCGAAAUUCCUUGUCAGGUAAGUUCUGACCCGCACGAAAGGCGUAACGAUUUGGGCGCUGUCUCAGCUGUAGACUCGGUGAAGUCUUAGUACCUGUGAAGAUGCAGGUUACCCGCGACUAGACGGAAAGACCCCAUGGAGCUUUACUGUAGCUUGAUAUUGGAUUUUGAUGCAUGAUGUACAGGAUAGGUAGGAGACGAAGAGACGGAUACGCCAGUAUUCGAGGAGUCGCCGUUGGGAUACUACCCUUCAUGUAUUGAAGUUCUAACCGGACGCCAUAAGCUGGCGACGGGACAGUGUCAGGUGGGCAGUUUGACUGGGGCGGUCGCCUCCCAAAGAGUAACGGAGGCGCCCAAAGAUACCCUCAGCAUGGUUGGAAAUCAUGCGUAGAGUGCAAAGGCAAAAGGGUGUUUGACUGCGAGACCAACAAGUCGAGCAGGGACGAAAGUCGGGCUUAGUGAUCCGGCGGUGCCGAAUGGAAGGGCCGUCGCUCAACGGAUAAAAGCUACCCUGGGGAUAACAGGCUGAUCUCCCCCAA
rnacentral:rRNA from 1 species